rnacentral:rRNA from 1 species
UACGGAGGGUGCGAGCGUUGUCCGGAAUCACUGGGCGUAAAGCGUGCGCAGGCGGCUAUGCAAGACAGAUGUGAAAUCCCCGGGCUCAACCUGGGAACUGCAUUUGUGACUGCAUGGCUAGAGUACGGUAGAGGGGGAUGGAAUUCCGCGUGUAGCAGUGAAAUGCGUAGAUAUGCGGAGGAACACCGAUGGCGAAGGCAAUCCCCUGGACCUGUACUGACGCUCAUGCACGAAAGCGUGGGGAGCAAACAGG